UACGGAGGGUGCAAGCGUUAUCCGGAUUCACUGGGUUUAAAGGGUGCGUAGGCGGCUUUAUAAGUCAUUGGUGAAAAGCUCGCAGCUUAACUGUGAAACUGCCAUUGAAACUGUUUAGCUUGAAUGUGGUUGAAGUGGGCGGAAUACAACAUGUAGCGGUGAAAUGCUUAGAUAUGUUUUAGAACACCGAUUGCGAAGGCAGCUCACUAAGCCAAUAUUGACGCUGAGGCACGAAAGCGUGGGUAGCAAACAGG
rnacentral:rRNA from 1 species